AGAUAUAAGGCCACAUAGACGAGUGCUGAUCGUUUUGUACUGAGAAAGGGAUACUUAGGUUUGAGACAUCCAACAGCUGUCGUGGCCUUGAUGACUGCGACUGCCACACCCUGAAAAUACAUCAGACCAGCACCUCCACUGUGUCCAGCUCUAGCUCAGUCACUAUCAUGGGGAUGAUACUUCGAGAACCAAGGAUUUCAGCCUGUUUAAGUGUCAUCGGAAAGCCGUCCAACACAUACCUGGAGUGCCAAGCCUUGAGUGUUCACUGUCUCACCCUCGUGUGAUGCAAACCGAGCUCAUGAGCGCCACCUCCAGACACUGAAUGGCUAGUUCAUCUGGCACAACAAGGCCCUGGGAGAGAUGCUUUUUCAUCUGGACUGCCAGAUCAUGAAGGACGUUCAGCUGUGCGUCCUGGUGGUUGCGGUGCUCACGCCACUUUUCCAGGUAUGUCGGCAACAGACGUUUCUGAACCUCCGCGACGUCCACUGACAUCAUCACCACAAUGUCAGGGUAAAGCUGUUGCUGCAUCAUGUACUGCACCUCAUCAGGAUGAUGUGGGAAGCCCUCCAAGAUAAAACCAGUGGACCUACAAGAUAGAAUCUUGAGGUCAGGCGGACACAAAGAUAAACACACUACAUAACUCUGUGAAGCUCUGCUAAGGCUUCAGCAUCCUCUGCCUCCUCAUCCAGAUCCACGGCUGACAGCUCCCAGGGCACGUACGUGAAGGGCUCUGAGGAUCACGCAUCACGUUAACCACAGACUGAUAUUUUAGGGAUAGACUGGAAAGACGGGGCUUGUCAACUUUUCUGUCUUUGACCUAAUUUCCUGAACAUGAAUAAACUUGAUACUUUGAGAAUAGCAACACUCACUCUCCAU